rnacentral:rRNA from 1 species
ACUGCUCAGUAACACGUGGAUAACCUGCCCAAGGGUCCGGGAUAACCCCGGGAAACUGGGGAUAAUACCGGAUGGAUCACUAGUGCUGGAAUGCUUGGUGGUCGAAAGGCAACGCCUUUGGAUGGGUCUGCGGCGGAUUAGGUUGACGCCGGUGUAACGUACCGGCGUGCCUGUAAUCCGUACGGGUUGUGGGAGCAAGAGCCCGGAGAUGGAUUCUGAGACACGAAUCCAGGCCCUACGGGGCGCAGCAGGCGCGAAAACUCUACAAUGCAGGCAACUGCGAUAGGGGGACAUCGAGUGGCAUCCACCUUGGGUGCCUGUCCAACCGUCUAAAAAACGGUUGUUAGCAAGGGCCGGGUAAGACCGGUGCCAGCCGCCGCGGUAAUACCGGCGGCUCGAGUGGUGGCCGAUAUUAUUGAGUCUAAAGGGUCCGUAGCCGGCUUUGCAAGUCCCCUGGGAAAUCCAGCGGCUUAACCGUUGGGCUUUCAUGGGAUACUACAUUGCUUGGGACUGGGAGAGGUAGGAGGUACUCGGGGGGUAGGGGUGAAAUCCUGUAAUCCUCCGGGGACCACCGGUGGCGAAGGCGUCCUACCAGAACAGGUCCGACGGUGAGGGACGAAAGCUAGGGGCACGAACCGGAUUAGAUACCCGGGUAGUCCUAGCCGUAAACGAUGCCCGCUAGGUGUCACGACGGUCGUGAAUCGUCGUGGUGCCGUAGGGAAGCCGCGAAGCGGGCCACUUGGGAAGUACGGCCGCAAGGCUGAAACUUAAAGGAAUUGGCGGGGGAGCAC